ensembl:lincRNA
GAUUUAUUCAGAAAUUUGGCUUAAAGAUCACGGUGGACAAGACUCAACUUGGCUGGAAGACUGCAAUCCCUCAGCAGAACUACGCAGACAAUCAAGCUGGCCAAGUUUUAUUCUAAGAAGCAAUGAGAGACAACUGAAACUGCCCUGAUUUUCCUAAACUGUUUCAGCAACCUCUGGGAGGUUAAAACUGUCAUACAUAAAGGAUUUGUUUUUCCAGUUAGCCAACAGGCAGCAGAGCUCCGAGGGACUGGAAAGCAGAGGGAACAGGCAUUCAGAAAGGUUCCGAAGCCUGGAGAAGACAGAGGCUCUUCGCACACCCUUUCAACUUGGUCCUUCCGCACAGAAAUCCACUGCCACAGAAUGAUGUCCAAACUCAAGGUCCUUCCUAUGCUGGUCCCAGCCCACCUCCAUGAGCUGAGCUCCCCUCCAAGGCAGGGUCUGUUCUCAUUUAUCAAAAGUAACCUGCAUAAAAGUACGGUACCACAUGCGCAUGUCUCAGCACAGGGUCUCAUAAAAAAUAAAAUAACUGGAGAGCAAAUUAAAUCUUUACCAAAUUUCUUGAGGAACACCAAAAAUAGAUCCUAUUUAUAAUAUACAGCAAAAAAUUUGAACUUUUGUAUUUUACCUUGUGGCAGCUGGCCCCCAAAUCUCUCUCAAAUUCUCCCUAAGUCUCCUUCAGCUCUACCUUUUCUUACCUAUCCCUUUUUCCCCUUCCAGAUCCAGCUUCCACGCUUUCCAAGGAGUACAGAGUAGCUGGGUAAGAGCAUGAGAUCUGGGGCUAGACUAGCUGUACUCAAAUUUAGUUCUGUUGUUCUCUUACUUGGCAGGUACCUGGCACAUGGUAAAUGCUCAAUGAAUGUGACUUCUUGUUAUUGUUGUUGUUAAAAUCCUGUUGGCCUCUCCAAUGUAUAUUUUUUCCACUUGCCCAUUUUUCCAUUGGUGCAACAAGAAAUGUGUCUUAGUCUCCUUGGACUGCCAUAGCAAACUGUCAUAAGCUGGGUGGCUAAAAACCAAUAGCAAGUUAUUCUCUUACAGUUCAGGAGGCCAGAAGUCCAAAGCCAAGGUGUUGGCAGGGCCGCGCUCCCUCCAGAGGCUCUAGGGGAGAUUCUGUUUCUUGCCUCUUGCUGCUUCUGGGGCCUGUUGGUAUUCCUGAGCUUGUCCAAGCUCUGCCUCUGACUCUACAUGGACUUCUCCAUUUUUCUCUGUCUCUAAUAAGGACAUUUAUCAUUAGAUUUAGGGCCCACCCAAAUUAUCCAAGAUAAUCUCAUUUCAAGAGCCUUAAUUUAAUGACAUCUGCAAAGACCUUUUUUAACAAAUAAGGUCAUCUGCACAGGUCCUGGGGAUCAGGAUUUGGACAUAUCUUUUGGGAGGCCACCAUUCAACCCACUACAGAACGACACUGGGAGGGGGGCAGAGAAGAGGGUUGCACAUACCUCUAAUUCUUGUCUUUUCUUUCUUUCUUUUUUUUUUCUUUUAUCUUUGCUACAAAUGAAGAAAUUGAGUAGAAGCCAGCAUCAGGUACUUGGGAAUGUGGAAGAGAGGCAGAUGGCAGAAAGGCCCCGUGGAGCUCUCCAUUUCCCCAGGGUCACUCUUUAAAUGACACAAGUUCUCAGCCAUAGAAUACCUAGCUGCAAGAGCUCCCAUAUCCAGCUGGGAUGAAGAUGCCCUGGCACAAGCGGUGAAGUUUAGCCACAGGGUCUAACUCUCCAGCGAACAAAUCCAGUCUAAGGAGUGGGGACGGGCCAUCUCGGAUUUCCCCCCAAGAGUGGUCAGCUGCAUGUGUGGCUGGCUGGAGGUGGUUCAGGUUAGUUAGUUAUUGAUAUCCUGUGUUAAGAUUCCUGCCUCGGCUGCACUGAAGGGAUCCGGGCGGCAGUGACUUCACUCAACUCAAAUUGCAAUCAGCCAGCCGCUUGGCUCGUGUGUUUCUCUACCCAGAACUAUUUUUGGUGUGUGUUCAUAGACAGCACACACAAGAGUAUUUGGUAUUUGAGACGCAAGCGUUAGGGUGAUUGAAGUUAGCUGCUAAUGAGCAUGCCUAGAAUAGAUCUACUCCAAGUGUGUGAGCGUGUGCGUGCUCUCUGUGUGUGGGCCCCACGGUGUGUCUGCAAAGCAGAUAUCUACAGACUUGCCCUCAGGUGACCUUACUGAUGUCCUCGAGCUGCUGCAUCAGCUAAGAUGUCCCUGGAUGGAAGCUGGGAGUGGAAGAAAUUUGGUCUGUCUCAAAUCCUCCCUUACCAGGCACCCUUGCUCCCCACCCCAUCUAUAUUCGAUCUGUCCUUCAAAGCUUAGCCCAUCCCACCUUACCAGGGAGGCUUGCUUGACCAGCCUCUGAACCCCUAGACCAGGGACAGCAAAUAGGUUUCACCACAAGUGCCAAAUCAGAUCAAACUGGCAGUGAUUAUCUGGAGCACUGUGUUGAGGAGGAUGCUGAGG